AUGAAGAAUGAUGAAGAUGAGAGGAGAAGAGAUAGUUUGAGAGGGUUUUUGUGUGAUUCUUCAGCGAUUAUGAAGAAUAAUGAGAAUGGAUUGAGCCUUGACUGGCCUCCGACGACACGCCGGCGACCGCGAGCGACAACUCAAUUGCUUCUGCAACAACACAAUAUCGACGCACUCCGGCCCCCUGUAGCGUCACCGGCAGCCACCACUGGGCGUUCGACUCCGACCUCCAUCUCCAGCCACUCUCGGUUUUGCUUGCAGGAGAGCCAGAAUUCAGUCAGUAUUGGAUUGGCAUCACUAUAA